GUCGCCAUGGCAACGCCAAGCACGGAGACGACCGAGGGAGAUGCGACCGUAAGGUUCGGCGCUGUCCGUGCUAGCUGCGACCGAAGGAAACAAACUAAGACUAAGGGAAAAGCAAUGGCAGGAAACGUGAUGUUGCACGGAAGAGCAUCUGUCUUUAAUACGAGAUCCCUUAUGUACGACGGAGGGCAGGAUCGUGAUUGUAAGCAAUACACUAUGAAGAGCACGGAGAUAUAAUUUCUAAUUGGCACCUGCAUGAAGUAACGCUUUGCUGAAACACGCAGAUCAAGGCUUGGACAAAGACCGCUCAAGAAAACGCAUGCCCUCUGAACAACUCCAUGCAAGGUACCGAAUGCCAGAGGGGGCUGCAGUGUCCAUGAAGCUGAGGAGAAGGGGUCUCUGAUUCACAUCGCAGUCCACCACCACGCGAUGGACACAACCACAGUGCCAACUGCGACCACACCACAUUCGAAUCGGAGCUGCUUCGGGUCCAGUGCCAGAGCUCCAGGGACCGGAGGGAAAACACUUGUGUGGGAGCAGCCCAGCAGCUGGACCUCUUGCUUACCGCGUUCAGCGAGCCGAGCAGAAGAAGCACAGUGAAGUCGACGUUACUGCCAAAAGAGCCCCAUUCUGGGAGUCCAGGAGAACAAAAGACGACGACCGCCGAGUCCUCCCGUCCUGCCUCCUCAUAACCACACGCUCCUUUUCAUUCAGACAAUUCUUUUAUACUAAGAAUAUUUUUUUUUUUAAGACACUUUGAAACCAAGUUAUCUUCAUCACUCCGUGAGGUGAUGCUAACAAACAUUUCCAUUUCUCUCACAUUUAGAAUAUUUUUUACAGACAAUCUCUUUGACGGAGCGUCCAUAAACGGGAACGAUUUGUAGGUUUUGUAUCAGUCGAAAGGAGCUUAGUAAUUGCAUUUCACUUUUUUUUUUUUUUUAAAAAAAGGGAAGCCAUUAGUGAACAUUUUACAUUGAAACAAACUAUUUUUGUUUUGUUUUUCCCCAUUAAGCAGACUUCUAGAAACUGCCAGCUGAACGACUGCCCAUCUACGGACCAAUCAAAGCGCUCAUUUUGCUGCUUUUCAUUCAUUGUGACCAACAAGCUGAACAAAAGUGCUGAAAUGCCGAGCCGAACAAAAGUGUUUUUCAAUUG